GACGAACGCUGGCGGCGUGCUUAACACAUGCGAGUCGAACGGAAAGGCCCUGCUUUUGUGGGGUGCUCGAGUGGCGAACGGGUGAGUAACACGUGAGUAACCUGCCCUUGACUUUGGGAUAACUUCAGGAAACUGGGGCUAAUACCGGAUAGGAGCUCCUGCUGCAUGGUGGGGGUUGGAAAGUUUCGGCGGUUGGGGAUGGACUCGCGGCUUAUCAGCUUGUUGGUGGGGUAGUGGCUUACCAAGGCUUUGACGGGUAGCCGGCCUGAGAGGGUGACCGGCCACAUUGGGACUGAGAUACGGCCCAGACUCCUACGGGAGGCAGCAGUGGGGAAUAUUGCACAAUGGGCGGAAGCCUGACGCAGCAACGCCGCGUGCGGGAUGACGGCCUUCGGGUUGUAAACCGCUUUCGCCUGUGACGAAGCGUGAGUGACGGUAAUGGGUAAAGAAGCACCGGCUAACUACGUG
rnacentral:rRNA from 1 species